UGCAAGUCGUGCGAGAAAGUCGCCUUCGGGUGGCGAGUAAAGCGGCAAACGGGUGAGUAACGCGUGGGUAACCUACCCAAGGGUCUGGGAUAACCCGGGGAAACCUGAGCUAAUACCAGAUAAGCCUACGAGGUCUUCGGGCCAUGUAGGAAAACGGUGGCCUCUCCUUGGAAGCUACCGCCCAUGGAUGAGCCCGCGUCCCAUUAGCUUGUUGGUGAGGUAACGGCUCACCAAGGCUCCGAUGGGUAGCUGGUCUGAGAGGACGAUCAGCCACACUGGAACUGAGACACGGUCCAGACUCCUACGGGAGGCAGCAGUCGGGAAUCUUGGGCAAUGGGCGCAAGCCUGACCCAGCGACGCCGCGUGAGGGAUGAAGGCCUUCGGGUCGUAAACCUCUGUCGGGAGGGAAGAUGGGCCGCAAGGCGAAUAGUCUUGUGGUUUGACGGUACCUCCAAAGGANNGACCGGCUAACUCCNUGCCAGCAGCCG
rnacentral:rRNA from 1 species